AAGGAGGAUGUGAAAGCUAGCAUUCCUGCCUGAUACCAUCUUCCUAGAUUUGAUCUGCCCAUAUUGUGUGUUUGCUGAACUGCUAGACUGUUCUGCUGGCCUCAAGAGCAGGACAUUAUC